rnacentral:rRNA from 1 species
AAUAGAUACCCUGGUAGUCCACGCCGUAAACGAUGAGUGCUAGGUGUUAGGGGGGUCCAACCCCUUAGUGCUGAAGUUAACACAUUAAGCACUCCGCCUGGGGAGUACGACCGCAAGGUUGAAACUCAAAGGAAUUGACGGGGGCCCGCACAAGCAGUGGAGCAUGUGGUUUAAUUCGAAGCAACGCGAAGAACCUUACCAGGUCUUGACAUCCUCUGACAACCCUAGAGAUAGGGCGUUCCCCUUCGGGGGACAGAGUGACAGGUGGUGCAUGGUUGUCGUCAGCUCGUGUCGUGAGAUGUUGGGUUAAGUCCCGCAACGAGCGCAACCCUUGAUGUUAGUUGCCAGCAUUAAGUUGGGCACUCUAACGUGACUGCCGGUGACAAACCGGAGGAAGGUGGGGAUGACGUCAAAUCAUCAUGCCCCUUAUGACCUGGGCUACACACGUGCUACAAUGGGCGGCACAAAGGGCAGCGAAACCGCGAGGUCGAGCGAAUCCCAUAAAGCCGCUCUCAGUUCGGAUUGCAGG